GACGAACGCUGGCGGCGUGCUUAACACAUGCAAGUCGAACGGAAAGGCCCUGCUUGCAGGGUGCUCGAGUGGCGAACGGGUGAGUAACACGUGGGUGAUCUGCCCCUUACUUUGGGAUAAGCCUGGGAAACUGGGUCUAAUACUGGAUAGGACCAUGCUGUAGGUGGUGUGGUGGAAAGAUUAGUUUCGGUAAGGGAUGAGCUCGCGGCCUAUCAGCUUGUUGGUGGGGUAAUGGCCUACCAAGGCGUCGACGGGUAGCCGGCCUGAGAGGGUGGACGGCCACAUUGGGACUGAGAUACGGCCCAGACUCCUACGGGAGGCAGCAGUGGGGUAUAUUGCACAAUGGGCGCAAGCCUGAUGCAGCGACGCCGCGUGGGGGAUGACGGCCUUCGGGUUGUAAACUCCUUUCAGCCAUGACGAAGCCCUUGUGGUGACGGUAGUGGUAGAAGAAGCACCGGCUAACUACGUG
rnacentral:rRNA from 1 species